UACAGAGGGGGCAAGCGUUAUUCGGAAUUAUUGGGCGUAAAGGGCGCGUAGGCGGCUUUGCAAGUGACGGGUGAAAUCCCACGGCUUAACCGUGGAACUGCCUGUCAGACUGCAUGGCUUGAGACCAGGAGAGGUGAGUGGAAUUCCUGGUGUAGCGGUGAAAUGCGCAGAUAUCAGGAAGAACACCCGUGGCGAAAGCGGCUCUCUGGGACGGUACUGACGCUGAGACGCGAAAGCGUGGGGAGCGAACAGG
rnacentral:rRNA from 1 species